AGACGCAGAGAAGAGGGUGGUGUCAUAGAAAUGAGCUAUGAGAGAGAGGGAGAGAGAGAGAGAAAAAGAAGAGUUUUGUGCUCGCGCCCGUCGCCGUCGUUGGCCUAAUCUCUCUAGAUCUGAUGACGGAGAGAAAAAAAUGUGAGAGGAGAAGGGCAAAACGAAGAAAGAAGAAGAAGCAUAGUGUUGUCUUCUUCUUCUCCCUUCGUUUCCCUAGCUUCUCCCACAAAAUUACACUAUUCAUAUCACUUUUUGACGUCGC
ensembl:miRNA mir-8209 miscRNA